GGGCGACAGACUGAGAGCCUGUCUCAAAAAAAAAAAAAAAGUUCAAGUUAUCCAGGUGCACUGAUUCACGCCUGUAAUCCCAGUGCUUUGGGAGGCCAAGACAGGGGGAUCACUUGAGCCCAGGAGUUUGAGGCCAGCCUGGGCAACAUAGUGAGACCUAUGUCUCCUCCUGGUCUCCUUAAAAAAUAAAACAUAAAAACUUACAAGCUUAGUAGACUGGAAGGGUGGUGAAGAGAGUUCACUAAUCUGCUAGUAAGCAGAGCGUGGUGUGUGCGGUCAGCACCUCCUACGUGCCAGGUCCCGACUGUCCACCUGGAGGCAGCAGCAAGCAGGGCCAACAGUGAAAGAGAAAUGGAUGAGGCAGUCCUGGGGAUGCUGUGGGCAAAGAGAAGCAGGUCUCUCUUGCAGAUGACGUUGGCACAAGCCUGGAGGAGCUGAGGAGAAACAGUGUAGAGAUCUGAGAAGGGCACAGCCUCGGUAGAGAGGCUGGGGCAGCAAGAGGCCUUUGUGGCAGCAGAGGAAUCCGGGGGGUGGUCACACAGGACCUCAACAGAUGUUAACGCUGUGGCCCUUUCUCAGGGAAGGGAGGGUACCUCUGGGACCUGUGGUGGAUGUGGCCACUAGGGUGGAGAGCAGCCUGUGGGCGGGAACCAGGAGGAGGCUCAAACUUAAGACAGUUGGACCAGGGCAUGAGGAGCAAUGAGAAGGGGAGAAGAUGGAGUGGGUGACACCUGCUUGUGGGCUGGGUGUGCAAAAGCCAGGAGUCCAGAUGACCCCAGGGUUGUCAGCUUGGGCAGA
rnacentral:lncRNA from 1 species